rnacentral:ncRNA from 1 species
GAGAGCCGUACACAUUGAGAGGUGUACGUACGGUUCGGAGGCGAGUACUUGGAGAUCCUGCCGUAGUAAUAUGGAAAGGCGCCGGGUGCUUAGCCUA